rnacentral:rRNA from 1 species
UAAUACGUAAGGGGCAAGCGUUGUCCGGAAUCACUGGGCGUAAAGGGCGCGUAGGCGGUUUGUUAAGUCGGGAGUGAAAGCGCUGGGCUCAACCCAGCAAUGGCUCUCGAGACUGGCAGGCUAGAGGAUCCUAGGGGAUGCUGGAAUUCCAGGUGUAGCGGUGAAAUGCGUAGAUAUCUGGGAGAACACCCGUGGCGAAGGCGGGCAUCUGGGGGAUUCCUGACGCUGAGGCGCGAAAGCUAGGGAAGCGAACGGG